UGAUCGAAGCCGCAAAACCAUCGCCGCCUGCCUCCUUUCCCGCCUCCGCUCUCGUGACCGUGAUGUCGCGCGCGUGAUCCCAGAAAGGCAGCAGCGGUCGGACCCUUGCUGAACACUCGCGCUAUCGCUUGCGAAGUUGCCGACGACGGGGUCGCGUGCGAGACCCAGAUCCGGCCCAGAAUGAGGCCCAUCUCUGUAGGCACGCAAACGCAACGCAACCUACCGCCGCGCCGCCGCCGCCCGGCGCCUCUUCCUUCCCCUUCAGCAGUCGUCUCCCCUGGCUCGCGGUCUCCGCUCUUCUCCAGUAUGCGGGUAUUUCUGAUUUCUGUGCCCACGCACAGGCGUCAGGCGGACCCGGCUCUUUUUACAGGGACGAUACCCUAGGCCAUCACAGUCACAGUCACAUCAUUCAGGAAGGUAUCUAGACGUUUAUGUUAACAGCAUUUCAGACCAAUCCCAGAGAAAGGCUACACCAGACAGCCACCAUGUUACAAAGGAACGAAAUGCAGUGCUGUUAGAGAAUGAAGUGACACGGCGGACCAGGUUACUCACUAUACUUGUAUCUCUUCUGUUCAGCUAACGUUAGUGCAAUGUGCAAUGGCCGCGUUGUAGCGCAGAAAGCAAUAGAAUUCCUAGUGCAUUUCUGAGGAUGCCAUUUGUGUGUCUUUCUACGAGUAGAGCCUGAUUUAUGUUGUUAUGGCAGUAAAUACCCAGGCUCAGGACGCUUUGCUUUAUGGUAAUGUUGCAGAUAAAUUGGUGUCUUUUUUUAAUGUUUUUUUUUUUGCUUGCAUGUCAUCAUUAGUUGUGAUGCAUUCUUGUAGCAGAGAUCUGUGGACAGUUUAGCUUUGAUGUGUUUUAUGCAUGAAAUUGAGAAUUAAGUAGUUUAUCUGACUAGUUAAAGAAACUAAAAGAAUGUGCAUGGCUUACUGAGAUAUUCUUUUUAUUUGAGAGAUUACAAGUUUAGUUCAUCUUCUUUGGCGUGCAAAGAUGUACAACACCUUCUCAAUAAUUAGGCGACUCAUCCAAUUCUUCUGAUAUUCUUGGGUCAAAUCAUUACAUAGUGUGCAAAGGUGUAGGAAUUUUCUUGAGUGUGAACCACAAGUUGUUUGAAUAAUGAUCACUACUGACUUUAGUUAUGUGCCCACUAGCUUGCUUAAUUGACUUCUUUCAUCUGGAAAAUAAUGAUUCCUAGUGACCUUGAGAGUUUAAAUCGCUUAGUUGCAUCACACGUUCACACUACUACUUACAGGUUCAAAGAAAAUGUCUAAUUCUCAGUAAUUUGCAAAUGCAUUAGUUGCAUCACACUAGUUGUAGGAUAGAGUUUAUAACGAUAUAAAGUUUGUUAGUAUGAGGUUUUCACUAUUCAAGUUUUGUAUCCAUGAAUUAGCAAACACGUUGGUCUAACAUAUAAGAAGGUUCAUGUACAACACUUGGUCAAGUAUUUUUAUGAUCAGUUCACAAGGAAUAACAUUCAUGUGAUUUGCCGGGGUUAUAUGUCUAGCUUUAACCGUAUGAGUUUCUUUCCUGUUUAUAGGUUCUAUAUUUUCUUUUAAGGUAAGGUUUUGUAUGGCUGUAUGGAGUAGGUGUGUAGGACCACAAGUCCCUUCCUUGCUCCUUCCACCUCUUCUUUGUUCUUCCUUCCAUCAUGACUUGCAGUCUGUCAUAUCAGAUGGCAUUGUGCUCCUCUGAAGCAUCUAUCAUUUUUCAGUUGAAAUCUUACAGACUCUGCCUCUUCAUUUCACAAACUUCCUACUGUUUCAAUGUUAUGUUCUUUUCCUGGAUGUUCUGUUUAAUGAUUUUCAAUUCACAACAUGAAUCUUAGACAGUGCAUAUAGACUGGAUAACUCUUGAAGUUUGAUCGUACGGAUUUUCCCUAAUUGUGAAUGUGUUCUUGAAUAUAGGAUAAGGACAACAUCUUGUUAGUACUGUACCAUAAUAUGUUGAAAAGUGAUGAGCUUAAAGCCAUCUAGUUGCUGUGGGUGUCUGUAGCUCAGUGUUGUCGUUGAUACCUAUGACACAUAUUUCUGGUCUAGUUUCCUGUGAGGUUGUUCACUUGGAUGUGUAACUUUUGAUCCAAAACUUGCGUAUUCAUUCCUGGUUUCCUUCGCUACAACUAGAUCUAGAUUUAUGGCUUUUGGUUCCAGGUUUCCUUCACUAUAACUAGCUUUUCAGUGUUAACCAAUAGUUACAACUUACAACUAAUUAAUCACGUCAUAGGAGAAAUAGAUCUGGUAGUCGAUGUAUUAGGUGAUGUGAGUUGAUCUCGACGUCCCCUGAGAGGUUAUCUGGCUCUAGUUUCUUUGCAAGAACUUUUACUUGUUAGAUUUCUCUGGCCUUGUACAUGUCACAUGUAUGUUUGGUUUAUGCCCAAGUUAACCUUUGCCAAAAAUUUAUCUGUCCCCAAAAGUUUUGAAAACCAUACCAAACACCUAUCGUCCUCGGAAGUUUAGAGAACCCCUUUGGCCAAGCUUUAGGCAUUGAGUAUUGAAGUUGAAGCAUGGGGUUUGGAUUUGCUGUAAAUUGGUCGAUUGUAUCUCUUUCUAUUAAUAUGGAUGCUUAAUGGCCAACUCCUAGAUCUGGUUCAGCCCUCUUACAGAAUUAGAUGUGGUGGUGUUGGAUCACAAUUAGUCUUGGAAUCUAUGGAUGGUUAAUGGCCUCCACUUUCUUUUGUGGCUGACACUCCUAGCCUGUAGUUUCUGCAGGAUUUAUUUUUCAAGUAGAGUUACAUAAAGGGAGCUGAAGGCCAGUUUCUUAAAGAAGGCCUGUUAUGAUUAUUGUUCAAUGCUGUCUGUCUAAAUCACCAGUUUCUAGGCUUCCUAAACCUAUAUUGCAUUACAACGUAAUCAGCUUGACAUGAGAUUCACAGUGACAAAUUGUGAUAUCAGUUACCUAUGUUCUUUCAGUACAGACUUCCAUGAUUAUUGUUUUUAUUUGCAAAGAACAAGGUAGUGUUGAUAUUCUGAAUUGAGCUAGGCUCAGUUGGUGGGACCACGGGAGGCGUUGGUGUACACCCACACGCAGGUCUUUGUCCUUGUCGACUUCAAUUUGGAUGACUAUUUCUUCUUAUUUACAUGCCAUCUAGUUAGGUUGUUUAAAAUUUUUUUAAUAUGUUGAUUACUUGAUAUUGUGGCACUUCAUUGUAAGUUGAAACCGUGUAGUCUAUUCUCUAAGAUUGGAAUAUAUGUUGUGCAUUCAUUUAUGUGGCGGUAAUUUCUGGACUCUACUACAUGCUGCUUCUUUUUAGUAGACUAUGUAUUGAGGAGAGGUGUCUAGUGUAUCCUCUCAAUAUAUGUCCCAUACUAGUGCACUUGCUUCCAUUUGUUUGACAGUGAUUUUUGUGGUGCAAUGACAAUUGUUUGUUUGAGAAUGCGCAAGAGAAUUGUGUGAUUAAGGGGGGAACUAGUGCUUGAUGAUACUUGGACUGUUAGCGAUGUCGUGUAGCGUAUUUGGCGUGUUUGCCUAAUGACAGGGUUCUGAACCGAGCUACAUUUUAUGACUGUUACAUGGCAACGACACAAGUGCAGUUGCUAAACUCUGCUUGUCUCCUAUUAAUUCAUAUGAAGCCCCAGAUGACUUUAGCAUGUUAGCAAUUUAGCAUACCAGGUCUAGCGACUGUAGCUGCCACUGCCAUGUUGCUCAGAUGGUUUGUCCCAUUCCUUGGUUCGGCCUGCUGUAUUUGGUGUUGCUAAGUCCAUUAGAUUACUGAGAAGGUGUAUUCUUUUGCAGCAUCAAAGUCUCUCCAAUAUAAAAUUGAAAGGAAUAUGUGGCUGGCCAAGAUUCUAUUACUAGGUCACUUCGAGGUUGAAUUCUUCCGUAGGUAAUGAGUUGGCUGCAGAAGGGCUCGCAGAAUCUACGUCUGUUUCUGAAAGUAGUAGCGCUUUUGAGUUGUUCUGAUGUCGGUAUCCUGGUAGGAUUCCUAGCUACCUCGGGGGCAUAGCGAGCAGCCGAGAGAGAGGGCCUUUGCAUGAGCCUUGAGACAGUGUCUUGGAAUCCAUCCAAUGCGUUGAAGGGAGAAUACAGAAAAGUGGUGUGGCCCAGAAGCAACAGCGAAGUUAGACGCUGAUGGAUGGCAACAUCGCCUACAAAGACCGAUACCUGAUUGCCGAAACCAAGCUAUCCGGAUCCAGACCCGAACUGUAAGAUACCUGAAAUACCCGACUAUAAUUUCAGAUAAUAACUUUAGAUACUUUUUGAUUAGUUUGGGUAUUAAUACCGGUACCCGAAGUACUCGUAGCAUACAAAAUUCAUGUUUGUGGGAUCCAUGCGUGUGAGUGUUUAUGUUUAUUUGUUUGAAUAACGUUUGUGUAGAUGCUAAAGACAUGUUAUUUGGUACUUUGGUAUUUUAUAUAGCUCUUUGAUUGAUUGUA